CGGGAUAGCUCACCUGGUA
rnacentral:tRNA from 1 species